rnacentral:rRNA from 1 species
AGAGUUUGAUCAUGGCUCAGGAUGAACGCUAGCUACAGGCUUAACACAUGCAAGUCGAGGGGCAGCAUGUUGGUUGCUUGCAACCAACGAUGGCGACCGGCGCACGGGUGAGUAACGCGUAUCCAACCUACCCUUGUCCAUCGGAUAACCCGUCGAAAGGCGGCCUAACACGAUAUGCGGUUCACGGCAGGCAUCUAAGGUGAACGAAAUGUGAAGGAGAAGGAUGGGGAUGCGUCUGAUUAGCUUGGUUGGGCGGGGUAACGGCCCACCAAGGCUACGAUCAGUAGGGGUUCUGAGAGGAAGAUCCCCANAUUGGAACUGAGACACGGUCCAAACUCCUACGGGAGCA